rnacentral:rRNA from 1 species
GGGAUGAGCUGUGGAUAGGGGUGAAAGGCCAAUCAAACUUCGUGAUAGCUGGUUCUCUCCGAAAUGCAUUUAGGUGCAGCGUUGCGUGUUUCUUGCCGGAGGUAGAGCUACUGGAUGGCCGAUGGGCCCUAAAAGGUUACUGACGUCAGCCAAACUCCGAAUGCCGGUAAGUGAGAGCGCAGCAGUGAGACUGUGGGGGAUAAGCUUCAUAGUCGAGAGGGAAACAGCCCAGAUCGCCGGCUAAGGUCCCCAAGUCGUGGCUAAGUGGGAAAGGAUGUGGGACUCCCAAAACAACCAGGAGGUUGGCUUAGAAGCAGCCAUCCUUGAAAGAGUGCGUAAUAGCUCACUGGUCGAGUGGUUCUGCGCCGACAAUGUAGCGGGGCUCAAGUACACCGCCGAAACCGCGGCAAUCAACAUGUGUUUGUUGGUUGGGUAGGGGAGCGUCGUGCACGACGGUGAAGCACCUGGGUAACUUGAUGGUGUGGAGUGUGUGCGAGUGAGAAUGCAGGCAUGAGUAACGAAUGAUAUGUGGAAAACAUAUCCGCCGGAUGACUAAGGGUUCCUGGGUUAAGCUAAUCUUCCCAGGGUGAGUCGGGACCUAAGGCGAGGCCGACAGGCGUAGUCGAUGGACAACGGGUUGAUAUUCCCGUACCGGCGAAGAACCGCCCAAGUCAAUCCAGUAAUGCUAAGCACCCGAAUACCACGGGUUCUCCUUUGGGAGUUUCUGUGGGGCUAGCGUGCGACCCUAUGCUGGUGCGGCUAACGUAUUAACAGGUGUGACGCAGGAAGGUAGCCUCCGCGGGGCGAUGGUUGUCCCCGUCUAAGGAUGUAGGGCGAACGAUAGGCAAAUCCGUCGUUCACAUGCCUGAGAUCUGAUGGUGAGUCCGUAUGGACGAAGAGGGUGAUCCUAUGCUGCCGAGAAAAGCAUCGACGUGAGGUUCUAGCCGCCCGUACCCUAAACCGACUCAGGUGGUCAGGUAGAGAAUACCAAGGAGAUCGAGAGAAUCAUGGUUAAGGAACUCGGCAAAAUGCCCCCGUAACUUCGGGAGAAGGGGGGCCUGAGGCGUGAAGAGAUUUACUCUCCGAGCGUUUGAAGGCCGCAGAGACCAGUGGGAAGCGACUGUUUACUAAAAACACAGGUCCGUGCGAAGUCGUAAGACGCUGUAU